AACUCCUACGGGACGCAGCAGUGGGGAAUAUUGCACAAUGGGGGAAACCCUGAUGCAGCGACGCCGCGUGAGUGAAGAAGUAUCUCGGUACGUAAAUCUCUAUCAGCAGGGAAGAAAAAAAGUCUUUGGCUUUGGACGGUACCUGACUAAGAAGCCCCGGCUAACUACGUGCCAGCAGCCGCGGUAAUACGUAGGGGGCAAGCGUUAUCCGGAUUUACUGGGUGUAUAGGGAGCGUAGACGGCAGCGCAAGUCUGGAGUGAAAUGCCGGGGCUCAACCCCGGAACUGCCUCUAAUACUGUUGAAC
rnacentral:rRNA from 1 species